UACAGAGGGUGCGAGCGUUAAUCGGAAUUACUGGGCGUAAAGCGCACGUAGGCGGUUUUUUAAGUCAGAGGUGAAAGCCCGGAGCUCAACUCCGGAAUUGCCUUUGAGACUGGGAGACUUGAAUCCAGGAGAGGUGAGUGGAAUUCCGAGUGUAGAGGUGAAAUUCGUAGAUAUUCGGAAGAACACCAGUGGCGAAGGCGGCUCACUGGACUGGUAUUGACGCUGAGGUGCGAAAGCGUGGGGAGCAACAGG
rnacentral:rRNA from 1 species